rnacentral:rRNA from 1 species
GACUAGCCAGAGCAUCCUACGGGAGGCAGCAUGGGGAAUAUUGCACAAUGGGCGCAAGCCUGAUGCAGCCAUGCCGCGUGUAUGAAGAAGGCCUUCGGGUGUAAAGUACUUUCAGCAGUGAGGAAGGUGGGUAUGUUAAUAGCAUAUUCAUUUGACGUUAGCUGCAGAAGAAGCACCGGCUAACUCCGUGCCAGCAGCCGCGGUAAUACGGAGGGUGCGAGCGUUAAUCGGAAUUACUGGGCGUAAAGCGCAUGCAGGUGGUUUGUUAAGUCAGAUGUGAAAGCCCGGGGCUCAACCUCGGAAUUGCAUUUGAAACUGGCAAACUAGAGUACUGUAGAGGGGGGUAGAAUUUCAGGUGUAGCGGUGAAAUGCGUAGAGAUCUGAAGGAAUACCGGUGGCGAAGGCGGCCCCCUGGACAGAUACUGACACUCAGAUGCGAAAGCGUGGGGAGCAAACAGGAUUAGAUACCCUGGUAG